rnacentral:sRNA from 1 species
GUUAUUAUUAUUUUUUUUUUUUAAAGUAUACAGUAGUAGUUUUUCCUUGAUAUCCUUAUUUUUAAAAGGGUGAUUUGCAGAUAUAUCACUUUUUCAUUAAAUAAUUAACUAACUAACACCAUAAAUUUAUAAAUGUAGUAAAUAACCUUUAAGGGGUGUGAAAAGACAUCACUGGCCUGGUGUUACGUUUGUCAGCGAGGAAGGAGAAUGUUUAGUGUGAGCUGACGUGACUUUAUUAUUGGUGUUGAGGUGAGAAAAAAAAUCAGGUGGUAGGAGAGAAGUCCUUUUUCUCUUUCUUUUUUCUUUACCCCUUCCCAAUUGUAAUUCAUAUUAUCUAAUCUUAAAAAAAAUAAUUCAAGUUCAUGAUAUAUCAAUUAAAAAGUUGUAUAGUUUUCUACAUAUAUCAUGACUUAAAUUUUCAAGGCAGACACAAAAUAAUUUAGAUGUGAAUAGUGUUGUCAAUGAAUAACAUAACCUUUUAUAU